rnacentral:rRNA from 1 species
UAAUACGGGGGUUGCAAGCGUUGUUCGGAAUAACUGGGCGUAAAGCGAGCGCAGGCGGCUUGAUUAGUCUGGAGUGAAAUCCCGGGGCUCAACCUCGGGUCUGCUUCGGAUACUGUCAGGCUAGAGUACGUGAGAGGAGAGUGGAAUUCCAGGUGUAGCGGUGAAAUGCGUAGAUAUCUGGAGGAACACCGGUGGCGAAAGCGGCUCUCUGGCACAGUACUGACGCUGAGGCUCGAAAGCGUGGGGAGCAAACGGG